rnacentral:lncRNA from 1 species
AGUUCCUUAUAUUAUUGAGCUAUUUACUUUGUUUUUGCGUAUUAUAGGAUUUGUCUAGCAAAGAAAAUAAAAAUAGAACAAGUGAAAUUUUAAGUAAUAAAUUCGUCAAAAAACUGCCUGUGUAGAUCAGCUGACUUUGGGAGCAAAUUGCGAACAGCUCAGAAUGAAUUAGAGAAUGAGACUUAUAUGCUUGGAAAGCUACAGAUGUCUAUUUUUUAGAACAUUUCGCGGAUUGUUAAUAUCAUUUUUCUAGAAGAAGUUAUGGGCAUUUAAGUAAGGGAAGGUCUAGCUGACGACAAAUUGCAGAUUGGAAUUGAAAGCAGACAAAGAUGACAAAGAAGAGCAUAAAGCAUAAAAUCAUGAUGAAUAAUCAUGAUGAAUGAUUAAGGCUGCCCUUUGGUUUUGUCUGAAAGGCAACAAAUACAGCAAAGCAUUGGCAAUAGAAGAAAAGUAAAAUAAAGAAAUAAAAAAGGGGAUCUGUUAGAGGAAGUGGACAGCAGCUGGGAAAGAAAGAAAAAUAUAAAAUGAAAGAGGUAGUGCGGGACUGAGGGCGGACAGAAAGAAAAGAAGAAGAGAGGGCAGUGCAUGGACACGAUAUAAAGGAGCAGCAUGGACUGACUGACGGGAGGAGAAAACACACGGAACAGAGAAGGGAAGUGAGGCGCAGAGACUGUUGGGCGCGGAAAGAAUAAAGGCUGCCUUUGGCAGCGUGAGAGAUAGCAGGAGAAGCACGGGAAGAAGAGGAGCACAGAGGCAGAGGCUUCACUCCAUUCUUAUUGGUGUUAUCUUCUCAAACUCAUGUUUAAUUUUUGGUUUAAUUUGAAAAUAAUGUGUAACUAAAUUUAUUUUGGCUAGAGGUUAAUUCAAAGCCAUGAAUAUAUUUGUAAUAUGAAUUGAUUACCUUCAGUUGUGAUUUCUGAGUUGUGAUUUAAUUUGCUUAACUGCUUG